ensembl:lncRNA
AGAAGACUGUGACUCACACCUCGAAUAGACCGUCUUUCUUUUUGCAAGGAGGAGGCCCGGAAGGAUGUCUCACUGGGAUCUCGGGGAGCACAUGAGACAGCAGAGGCACCCAGGAAGAGGUGUUUGUGUUUUCAGGUUUCCUUCUACAGCAUGAGGGCCCCUACUUCCCUUUCUGGAUGCCCCUACACUUCAGUAACUCAAUAUGGAGGAGAUUUCUCUGCUCCCAAACACCAGCAGGAAGAGAGAAACUGUGAAGGCAGUCGGUCUGCAUCACAGUUGUUGUGGUCACCCCCGCACUGUGUCCCUGUCCACACCAUGCCACCCAUGAUGGCGUGGCAGCCACUUUUCACCUGCAAGGACACCGAUCGUAGGUAAAUAUUUAUUUUCGAAAAUUGCUUCCUAAAACAGGACAUGAUACGGGACUGGCUGGGUUUGAGCUCAAGCUGACUCAUGAGGAAGCAAGACUAACAUUUUCCUAGAGGGUGAACUCAAAAUUCCACAAGCUCAGCCUCCCACCAUCUGAGCACAGUGCAAACUUUGCUAUCCUCCUGAAAAGUUGGCUACAAGUUGAACAAAACCACAUGUUCUUGAAGUUGUGAAUGAACUGCAAGUUUCAUAAAAUGCAGGUUGGAGUAUAAAUCACCAUUUUCACCUUGAAAAACAAUUUCAUAUCUAGCAAAGUCAAGGUGAGAAUAUUUUUGUGUGCCAUAAUUCUGCACUCUAACUCUGCUCAAAAUGAACAUGUUCAUGGCAGUUUUGGCUAAAGAAAGGGAAAUGACUGAAGAGUCUGGAAAUAGAAAAAUGACUAAAUAAAUUAUGAUACAACCCUGGACUAAAAGUUAUAAAUAAAUGAAGAACAACACCUGGCAACAUGUGCAAAUCUCACCCAAAAAUGUCAAACAACUAAAACAUCAAGUCACAAGAAAAUGCCUAACGUUUGAGGGCAUAUAUCUAAAGUUCAGAAGUACGAUAAAAUAUAUAAAGGAUGUGCACAUUAGUAAAACACAAGGGAAUGAUGAACAGAAACUUCAGGGUCCUGGUUACCGCUGCGGGGACAGGGAGCUGUGGUCCGGUAGAUACAUAAGAAUGACAGACACAUAGAGGAAUCCUUACUAUGUGCAGGGCAUGUGCGGUGCACACCCGCUCACACACAAGAUAUUCUUACAAAGACUCACUUAACUGGGCUCCCUAAUUAUAUACAUGUAACUCCAGUUGUUCAGCCUUCUUGGUGCCACCUUUCCAUCUGUAGGUAUCUGGUGUGUGUGUAGAGGGGGAACAUCCUCAUUGAGCAGAUAUAACAAAUCAUUUUCUGUGGCAGCAGGUCCUAACAGAGUCUUCAGACUUCUAAGAGGCUAUAGUAAACUGCUUAUUUCCAAUUUUGUUUGCUAAAAGAAAUUUACUGUUCUCCAAACAAAAGUCUUGAAUAAGACUGUUCAGUGGAAGAAUAUAGAAAAUGCUGAGACUGAAUUUGUCCAAAGAAUGUUCUUGCAAUGCAAGGAUCAAGGAUAAUUCUGCUUCUGCUACACUAAUAUAUUGGAGUGAGACAUUUUUACUGAAUUCUACUUCUACAAUGAAUUCAUUGUUGAUGUCUCUAUUACAGAUUCUCUAUGGUAAAUGUUACAGUUGUAAGGCAAGUCUCUCUCCACACAAUCAUCUUUCACAUCUUGCUUUCUCCCUCCCAGUGGAGCAGCUACACUGUAAGAGACACUGUCCCAGGGCGUGGGACAUGGUGAGCAGUGUAGACACAGCUACUGCCUGUACCAUGCUUAGCCGUGUGCAAGACAAAAGCAUCAUUAGAAAUGAAGCACCUAUUUAGUGCACUUAUUAUAACAGUAAAUAAAACAAAG